AUUGAACGCUGGCGGCAGGCCUAACACAUGCAAGUCGAGCGGAUGAAGAGAGCUUGCUCUCUGAUUUAGCGGCGGACGGGUGAGUAAUGCCUAGGAAUCUGCCUGGUAGUGGGGGAUAACGUUCCGAAAGGAACGCUAAUACCGCAUACGUCCUACGGGAGAAAGCAGGGGACCUUCGGGCCUUGCGCUAUCAGAUGAGCCUAGGUCGGAUUAGCUAGUUGGUGAGGUAAUGGCUCACCAAGGCUACGAACCGUAACUGGUGUGAGAGGAUGAUCAGGCCCACUGGAACGGAGACACGGUCCAGACUCCUACGGGAGGCAGCAGUGGGGAAUAUUGGACAAUGGGCGAAAGCCUGAUCCAGCCAUGCCGCGUGUGUGAAGAAGGUCUUCGGAUUGUAAAGCACUUUAAGUUGGGAGGAAGGGCAGUAAGUUAAUACCUUGCUGUUUUGGCGUUACCGACAGAAUAAGCACCGGCUAACUUCGUGCCAGCCGCCGCCGUAAGA
rnacentral:rRNA from 1 species